rnacentral:rRNA from 1 species
AGAAUCAACGCUGGCGGCGUGCCUAACACAUGCAAGUCGAUCGAGAAAGUGAAGCAAUCCAUGAGUAAAGAGGCGCACGGGUGAGUAACACGUGACUAACCUACCUUCGAGUGGGGAAUAACCUGGGGAAACCCGGGCUAAUACCGCAUAACACCUACGGGUCAAAGGAGCAAUUCGCUUGAAGAGGGGUCGCGGCAGAUUAGUUAGUUGGCGGGGUAAUGGCCCACCAAGACGAUGAUCUGUA